UACGUAGGGUGCAAGCGUUAAUCGGAAUUACUGGGCGUAAAGCGUGCGCAGGCGGUUGUGCAAGACAGAUGUAAAAUCCCCGGGCUUAACCUGGGAAUUGCAUUUGUGACUGCACGGCUAGAGUGUGUCAGAGGGGGGUAGAAUUCCACGUGUAGCAGUGAAAUGCGUAGAUAUCGAGAGGAACACCAGUGGCGAAGGCGAGUCUCUGGACGACUCCUGACACUGAGGCACGAAAGCUAGGGGAGCAAACAGG
rnacentral:rRNA from 1 species